CUUAUGAAGACCUACGCCUAACUACAUCACCUGAGCCGUCCUAUAAAGAUCCACGCCUGGCCAAAUUUACUUGCACCAUGUUGAAGAUCCCUUGUAAGUUUUUUUUUCCGUAGUCUGCAUAAUUGUUUAAUAAACCGCUUUCUCCGGAACUUGAAACCUGGAUUUCUUGUAAUCUGCAAUAAAUUGCAUAGUCUGGGAUUCGAAUCUCAGACCUGGGUGUAGAAGCCUUUAAACCUUAACCAGUAGAAUAUUGAUUUGGCUUUUGUAUGUACAAAAUUCAGCUCAUUUUCUUGAGUUUAUGCCAACGUUCGAAAGCGUUAUGGGUCCGGUAACCUCGAGCCUAGCACCUAACAAAAAAAUCGUGGAUUAGACGAGUUUAAUUGAAACCUAGUUUUAAGACUUUAUAUUAUUUUGUUAGAUAAAUAUUAAAUAUUUUAAAAGCAAACGUAACGUUGGUGAUAGAGAAGUGGUUAGUUGUCUUUAUAUUCUUAUAAUAAACCUGAGUUCAAGCCCAGACAUUAUAUUUUUAUUUGUUUUUAACAUAAAAAUUUAAUCAGUGGUAGAAUAAACAUUGUGUAAUCAUCUUCUUCAAUCUAUGGUAGAACAAACAUUGUGUAAUCAUCUUCUUUCUCAUGUGUGUAUGUUCCAAACCCUAACAUGGUGGCCACCUCUCUUUUUCUUUUUUCUUUUUUUCAUUGUUUUCUUCCACUAUAUUUAUAGCUAAAAUUGAUAAAGCCACUAGAAAACUUUUGGUUUUAAGUAUAAACAAGUUUCUGACCUGUCUUUAAAAGGGCGGGUGUAUUUUUGUUUUACUUUUUUUUGUGAAAUUUAUUUUUUGUAUUUGUGUUUUUUAGUCGUAGUUGUGUUUUUGUAUAAUAUUUCUCUUAAAUGAUUAAUAAAAUAUUUUAAUAAUUAUAUUAAAAUAGUUGGACCACACCUAUAUAAAUAGGUCAUGUUCCUAUUUUAGUAGAAGGGCGGGUAUGGUUUUAUUUUACAUUUUUUAGCAAUUUAAUUUUUGUAUUUGUGUUUUAGUCAUAUUUGUGUUUUUUUGUAUAAUAUUUCUCUUAACGGAUUAAUAAAAUUUUUUAAUGAUUGUAUUAAAAUAGUUGGACCACACCUAUAUCAAUAGGUCAUGUUCCUAUUUUAAUAGAAUAGAUGAACAAAAUCUUGAGUUUUUUUUAAAGAUCGCUGAGUUUUUGUCCUAUUGGUACCAAAUCAUGGCGGUUGGGGGCCGACGAACGAUUUUUCGGCGAGUAAGCUGUUUUAGGCGCCGCAUUUUUGAACAGGGAUUUAAGCCAUCUCAUACUCAGUAGUUAGAUUUUUCAAGGCUUGACACGCGAUUGUUUUAAAAGUUUUUUGGUGUUGAUUUGUCUACUAUUUACAUGGCUUAUUUUAUCUAUUGGCUGACCAUUGAUUUUUAUCAAAAAUUUCAUAUUGUAAAGCCGUUUUUUUUUAUUACUCACUACAAGAAAAAUGGCUUUAGUUAGCGGCCAAAAAACUCUAUCUAACGAUACGAUAGCGGUUUAUGAAGUGAUGUAUCAUCGCCCGUGAUAGUAGGUAAGACACAUUAGAUAGCGGUUUUUGUACUGCUAUUUUAUUAUCAUAUACAAUAGCGUUUGUAUGUUUGCAAUUACAUAUUUUUUAGUAGCAUAUAAUUUUUGUUAUUAUUUAUAUUAUUAUAAAAAAACAAAAAUACAAUUCGAAAAAUACAAUUAAAUAAUAUAAUUUAUUAAUUUUCAUUUACAAAAUAACUGAAUUUGGUUUAUAAAUUAAAAUCGUUUUACAAAAUUAACUAAAUUAAAAAAAAACUAAACCUAAAAAAAUUCCACAGUUCACACCUAAACCUAAUUUGGUUGUUCUCCAACGAGCCGCCAUGGGACUUUUGACGGAAAGCAAAGCAGUCUUCAGCGAGGACGUGAUGUAGGGUUGUCGCAGAGGAGGACCCAUCUCCGGCUAGUUGUUGAGGAGAGGAGCAGAGGAAGCGUAUUUGAGAGGAGGAGAGGCCGCACACAGAGGAAGAGAGACUUGUAGCAGAGCGGUCACAAAGUAGAGGAGCAGAGUUGUCACGAAGCAGGGGGGAGGCGUCACUUCUUCACGGAACAGAGGAGGAGGCGUUACGGUUAAGUCUUAGCCACCACAGAACUAAAAGAUAGAGAGAUAAUAGAGUAGAUGGGAUGCUCCUCCUCUGUCGUUGAGGGAGACAUAUCAGAAGAUAGCGACAGCAGAGAUGUAGAGCUCGCGACAGGUCGAGAUCCGUGACGGGAAGACGUUGGCAAGCUUGAGCAGAGGUGGAGAAGAGAUGCGAUAUAGAGAAGAAUAUGAGAGGUUGGCGGCAGAUGGAAACAAAAGAGACAAGAGAGAGAGAGAGAGAGGAAGACACACAUAUUGACUUUGAUGAGAUUGUAGAGAAGAAAAAAGAUGUGCAUAGAGAGAUGAUGUCAUAGUAGUGAAGAAGACAAAGAUUAAAAAAUUGUUUCAGAUCUGAAAUUAAAAAAGAAUAAAAGAAAUUAAAAAGAAUACUGAAUUGUGGUCUGAUUGUAUAAAAAAGAGGCGAGAGAGAGGAAGAAACACAGAUGAAUGAAUCUGAACCAUUGAAUAAAUUAAAUCAAUGGUCUACACUUUGUAAUCCACACACUUUUUGUUUCAGCCAAUGAAAAAAUAGAAGGAGGAUUACUAUGGAAGAGUUGUUAACACAAAUGGUCAUUUUAUGUGUUUUAUUUACCCUGGAGAGUACAUUGUGCUACACAGACACUUUUAUGUGGUUGAAGACCAAAUUAUCCUCUGAAAAGCAAAACAAGGAUUGGUAUUUAAGUAAAACGAUGUUCAAUGCUAGUUAGGUUGAGAAAAGGCUGGUUACAGAUUUUGAAUUUUGAAUAAAGCAGCGAUUAGUUGGUGGACCCCAUAGGAUGUUAAAUCCAAUUGAUAAAUUAUUUCUUGAGCCCGUAAAAGGCAAAUAAUUUUUUUUUUAUCUGUAAAAAAUUAAAAGUGACAGUUUCUGCGAGAGAGAAUGACGGAGAAAAAAAAGACAAAUGACGAAAUCAAAAUCGACGGCGGCCCAUGUAUGCAUGCGUAAUCGACGAUGACGACGAAGAAGAAGCGCUCAGGAAAGGAGAAAGCAAAAGAGGUAGCGACGACGGUUGAGGAAGAGGUGAAUGAUAGGAUACCAACCCGUUUGUUUGCGGCGGUCUGGUUUCCGAGUAGGAGGCUUAACUGCUACUCAUCGUUGGAGUACCUUCUGCUGGUGAGGGGUGUGCUUGAAGGUAGUGAAGAGGCAGAGAGGUUAAAGAUGGUAUGUAAUCGAGGACGAGGCAGCAACAAAGAAGGCGGAGGUGUUAGAGGCUGAGUAUGAUAUUCAGGUAACUAGUUGUACACAUGUACGAACGUUUUAGGUUGUACAUGCUACAUGUGAUGUACAUGUGUACACUACGAACUUAUGUGUACAUGUGUACUAUAUGAACGUAUGUGUACAUGUUUACUUUGCAUAUUAUGCUUGUAUAGUUUGCAAUAGAGCUGUGUAUUGAUUUUGCUUUGAUUUGCCGUGUUUCUAUAUUUGCAGCUGACUGUGCAACCUAUGAUGGAGUGUGGGGAGGAGAAGGAGGAUGGUUGGGAAAAAUUUAACAGUGAGAAAUUUUGAUCGUCAAUAAGGCUGGACACAGAUUUUUAAUAUCUAUGCGAUGUAGACAGAUGUUAAGGUUACAUUUAUUUUUGAUGUUUAACUAUGCACUGAAGGUCUAAGUGAAUUUUUUAAGUGGGUGUGCGGAUAUAAAGAUGUACAAUUGAAUCUCAUAAAUAUGUUCGUAAAGUAGAAUAUUGAUGUACAGUAGAAUAUUGAUUUGGCUUUUGUAUGUACAAAAUUCAGCUCAUUUUCUUGAGUUUAUGCCAACGUUCGAAAGCGUUAUGGGUCCGGUAACCUCGAGCCUAGCACCUAACAAAAAAAUCGUGGAUUAGACGAGUUUAAUUGAAACCUAGUUUUAAGACUUUAUAUUAUUUUGUUAGAUAAAUAUUAAAUAUUUUAAAAGCAAACGUAACGUUGGUGAUAGAGAAGUGGUUAGUUGUCUUUAUAUUCUUAUAAUAAACCUGAGUUCAAGCCCAGACAUUAUAUUUUUAUUUGUUUUUAACAUAAAAAUUUAAUCAGUGGUAGAAUAAACAUUGUGUAAUCAUCUUCUUCAAUCUAUGGUAGAACAAACAUUGUGUAAUCAUCUUCUUUCUCAUGUGUGUAUGUUCCAAACCCUAACAUGGUGGCCACCUCUCUUUUUCUUUUUUCUUUUUUUCAUUGUUUUCUUCCACUAUAUUUAUAGCUAAAAUUGAUAAAGCCACUAGAAAACUUUUGGUUUUAAGUAUAAACAAGUUUCUGACCUGUCUUUAAAAGGGCGGGUGUAUUUUUGUUUUACUUUUUUUUGUGAAAUUUAUUUUUUGUAUUUGUGUUUUUUAGUCGUAGUUGUGUUUUUGUAUAAUAUUUCUCUUAAAUGAUUAAUAAAAUAUUUUAAUAAUUAUAUUAAAAUAGUUGGACCACACCUAUAUAAAUAGGUCAUGUUCCUAUUUUAGUAGAAGGGCGGGUAUGGUUUUAUUUUACAUUUUUUAGCAAUUUAAUUUUUGUAUUUGUGUUUUAGUCAUAUUUGUGUUUUUUUGUAUAAUAUUUCUCUUAACGGAUUAAUAAAAUUUUUUAAUGAUUGUAUUAAAAUAGUUGGACCACACCUAUAUCAAUAGGUCAUGUUCCUAUUUUAAUAGAAUAGAUGAACAAAAUCUUGAGUUUUUUUUAAAGAUCGCUGAGUUUUUGUCCUAUUGGUACCAAAUCAUGGCGGUUGGGGGCCGACGAACGAUUUUUCGGCGAGUAAGCUGUUUUAGGCGCCGCAUUUUUGAACAGGGAUUUAAGCCAUCUCAUACUCAGUAGUUAGAUUUUUCAAGGCUUGACACGCGAUUGUUUUAAAAGUUUUUUGGUGUUGAUUUGUCUACUAUUUACAUGGCUUAUUUUAUCUAUUGGCUGACCAUUGAUUUUUAUCAAAAAUUUCAUAUUGUAAAGCCGUUUUUUUUUAUUACUCACUACAAGAAAAAUGGCUUUAGUUAGCGGCCAAAAAACUCUAUCUAACGAUACGAUAGCGGUUUAUGAAGUGAUGUAUCAUCGCCCGUGAUAGUAGGUAAGACACAUUAGAUAGCGGUUUUUGUACUGCUAUUUUAUUAUCAUAUACAAUAGCGUUUGUAUGUUUGCAAUUACAUAUUUUUAGUAGCAUAUAAUUUUUGUUAUUAUUUAUAUUAUUAUAAAAAAACAAAAAUACAAUUCGAAAAAUACAAUUAAAUAAUAUAAUUUAUUAAUUUUCAUUUACAAAAUAACUGAAUUUGGUUUAUAAAUUAAAAUCGUUUUACAAAAUUAACUAAAUUUAAAAAAAACUAAACCUAAAAAAAUUCCACAGUUCACACCUAAACCUAAUUUGGUUGUUCUCCAACGAGCCGCCAUGGGACUUUUGACGGAAAGCAAAGCAGUCUUCAGCGAGGACGUGAUGUAGGGUUGUCGCAGAGGAGGACCCAUCUCCGGCUAGUUGUUGAGGAGAGGAGCAGAGGAAGCGUAUUUGAGAGGAGGAGAGGCCGCACACAGAGGAAGAGAGACUUGUAGCAGAGCGGUCACAAAGUAGAGGAGCAGAGUUGUCACGAAGCAGGGGGGAGGCGUCACUUCUUCACGGAACAGAGGAGGAGGCGUUACGGUUAAGUCUUAGCCACCACAGAACUAAAAGAUAGAGAGAUAAUAGAGUAGAUGGGAUGCUCCUCCUCUGUCGUUGAGGGAGACAUAUCAGAAGAUAGCGACAGCAGAGAUGUAGAGCUCGCGACAGGUCGAGAUCCGUGACGGGAAGACGUUGGCAAGCUUGAGCAGAGGUGGAGAAGAGAUGCGAUAUAGAGAAGAAUAUGAGAGGUUGGCGGCAGAUGGAAACAAAAGAGACAAGAGAGAGAGAGAGAGAGGAAGACACACAUAUUGACUUUGAUGAGAUUGUAGAGAAGAAAAAAGAUGUGCAUAGAGAGAUGAUGUCAUAGUAGUGAAGAAGACAAAGAUUAAAAAAUUGUUUCAGAUCUGAAAUUAAAAAAGAAUAAAAGAAAUUAAAAAGAAUACUGAAUUGUGGUCUGAUUGUAUAAAAAAGAGGCGAGAGAGAGGAAGAAACACAGAUGAAUGAAUCUGAACCAUUGAAUAAAUUAAAUCAAUGGUCUACACUUUGUAAUCCACACACUUUUUGUUUCAGCCAAUGAAAAAAUAGAAGGAGGAUUACUAUGGAAGAGUUGUUAACACAAAUGGUCAUUUUAUGUGUUUUAUUUACCCUGGAGAGUACAUUGUGCUACACAGACACUUUUAUGUGGUUGAAGACCAAAUUAUCCUCUGAAAAGCAAAACAAGGAUUGGUAUUUAAGUAAAACGAUGUUCAAUGCUAGUUAGGUUGAGAAAAGGCUGGUUACAGAUUUUGAAUUUUGAAUAAAGCAGCGAUUAGUUGGUGGACCCCAUAGGAUGUUAAAUCCAAUUGAUAAAUUAUUUCUUGAGCCCGUAAAAGGCAAAUAAUUUUUUUUUUAUCUGUAAAAAAUUAAAAGUGACAGUUUCUGCGAGAGAGAAUGACGGAGAAAAAAAAGACAAAUGACGGCCUAUGUAUGCAUGCGUAAUCGACGAUGACGACGAAGAAGAAGCGCUCAGGAAAGGAGAAAGCAAAAGGUGAGUUUAUUUGUGGUUUUCCAAUUGGCUCAAAUUUAGGGUUUCUAUGUAAGAUUGUUCUUGGAUUUGACGAGUUUCUUGUCACGGUACAGAGGUAGCGACGACGGUUGAGGAAGAGGUGAAUGAUAGGAUACCAACCCGUUUGUUUGCGGCGGUCUGGUUUCCGAGUAGGAGGCUUAACUGCUACUCAUCGUUGGAGUACCUUCUGCUGGUGAGGGGUGUGCUUGAAGGUAGUGAAGAGGCAGAGAGGUUAAAGAUGGUAUGUAAUCGAGGACGAGGCAGCAACAAAGAAGGCGGAGGUGUUAGAGGCUGAGUAUGAUAUUCAGGUAACUAGUUGUACACAUGUACGAACGUUUUAGGUUGUACAUGCUACAUGUGAUGUACAUGUGUACACUACGAACUUAUGUGUACAUGUGUACUAUAUGAACGUAUGUGUACAUGUUUACUUUGCAUAUUAUGCUUGUAUAGUUUGCAAUAGAGCUGUGUAUUGAUUUUGCUUUGAUUUGCCGUGUUUCUAUAUUUGCAGCUGACUGUGCAACCUAUGAUGGAGUGUGGGGAGGAGAAGGAGGAUGGUUGGGAAAAAUUUAACAGUGAGAAAUUUUGAUCGUCAAUAAGGCUGGACACAGAUUUUUAAUAUCUAUGCGAUGUAGACAGAUGUUAAGGUUACAUUUAUUUUUGAUGUUUAACUAUGCACUGAAGGUCUAAGUGAAUUUUUUAAGUGGGUGUGCGGAUAUAAAGAUGUACAAUUAAAUGUAACAUCGAUACGUCGUGGGUCAGUGACACUGAGAACACUGGAGCUUCUUGGCUCCUUCGUAAUAGUUCAGGGGAGCCUCUGGUGCAUAGCCGACGAUCCUUCUCUGCCAUUUCUAAUAAGCUUGAGGCAGAGCUCUUAAGUUUUUCAUGGGCUAUAGAUUGUCUCUCAGACUUACGUUUUGGUCAAGUUGUCUUUGAAUCAUCAUCUUACCUUGCGGGUGAAGCGAUCCUCAGACCUGAAAUGUUCCUUGGUUUUCAAGACCUGUUGGCUCAUAUCCGUGAUAAACUGAGUGGCUUUAGAUUGUGGAACAUCUCAUAUGCACAUCUCCAAGGCAAUAGAUGCGCCCAUGAAAUAGCUCUAAGUGUCACUAGGGAUCAGCGGUAUCAAUCAUACAUAGCUCGUGGUGGACCAUUUUGGCUACGAUCGCUGAUUGAAGAGGAUGCAAAGGACGACACAUGAAGUCUCUUAAUGGAUAAGACCUUAUCCAUGACUGGUCUGGUCUCCUUCUUCACCCUCCCCUCUGUCUGUGGUGUCACGUUUCUAUUUCCUUUGCUUGUUUCUGGUUCCUAUUGGUUCCCUUGAUUUAUUUGCUUGUGUUUUGUUUGUUUUCAAACUGGUUUGGACUGAGGUCUAUCUCGUCCCCCCCUUUUUUUAUUUGAAUGAAAGUUACUAAGAGUUAAAAAAAAAAAAGUAUGAGAAAAUAACUGGUUGUACAUGUGUACAAGAAACAAAAAAUGUACAAGUGGACAAAGGUAAAUAGUAGAAAUGACAUAAUAGAGUGUACGUGUGGUGAAAUAAAUUAAGUGAAAUUUACAAACACAUGAUUCAUGGCAUUAAAGUGUGUGCAACAAAAAUGUGAUAGUUUUUUUUCAUAUUCAUAGGCAUGUAAACUAUUGGUGAGUUGCUGGCUGUACAUGUGUACAGAUUUACAAAGUUAAUGGCCAUGAAUAAAUUAAGUGAAAUUGGGGAAAACAUAAUGAUGUAGAAUGAAAGUAUAUUUGCAAACUGAAACAGAGCAUUCUUCGCAAAGGCUGGGGUGUUCAGAUGGAAAACCAACAAAUAAAAAAAAAUGUGUUUAAGAAAUAUGUACAUAAUCAAUUUGAUGUAUACACUUGUUAUCCAAAAUAGUAAUAUCAAAAAAUUGAAAUGUAGAAAUCAUUUCGAAAUGCAUAGCAUUUCAAAAGUAUUACAAGCAGCUCAAUAAUGAACAUAUUUAUAUGUACACUUGUUUACCGAAAUUGACAUGUACACUUUACUAUGGUGUAAUAUUCAAUUAGACACCCACCAAUUUAUAACAUGCAUUUACAAGUAAAACGAUCAAAUGGUGAAUAUGUGUACACAAAAUAAUUACUAUAUCCAUAUAUACAAAGAUUCUAUGUACAACGAUUCACAAACAUAUAUUGUACAUCAGAUCGGUAAAUUUAUCACAUUUGCAAGAACAUGAGCUGAAGAAACCACAUUUGAUAUAAGCUUGAAUCCACAAGACUUAUAACACUAGAUACUUUGAGAUUUAAAUCUUGAUUCCACAAACUAUUCUAACUCGCAAAACAAAACUCUCAAAGACAAUACAUUGAAAACAUAAGCUUUUUGAUUGAUGGUUGGAAGAUGAAUGAGAAAUACAAAGGUUCUUAGCUUUCUUAGGCUAUCAGAACUGACCUCCAAUGGUCUAGACUGACAAAACAGAGGAAAAUAUUAUUUAGAAACAAAUAAUCUUCUCCCAUUGAUGAGUUUAGCCGUUAGGCUUUAAUUGGAGAUUCUCCUUGAAGCAAAUAAUCAUAUCCCAUUUAUGAGCAAGGUAUUCUUAACCCUUUCGAUGGAAGACGUUGGCGACGAUGGUUGCAGCAUGAGACUUGGUUUGAGAAUCGGUAUUGAGGUUGUAUAGAUGAGUGAUGCUUCGAUGAGUGUAGUAGAAAUUUGGGACUUAUUUGCCAGCGGAUUCGAACUGUGUAGUAAGCCAUGUUUUCACCUCUGAGAUUUGGCAGCUGCAGUCUAAAGAAAAAAAAGGUAACAAGAACUAGGGAGAUGAUGAUUUUGCUUAAUACAAUGGAAAUAAUCUUGGUCGUAGAUAGUAAAAGCACAUCAGUUAAUCUAAUGGCUUUGAAUAUUGGUAGAUAUAAGUCUAAUCAAGAGCUGGGAAAAUAGAUCUUGACCGUUGGAACUGGAGACAGAUCAAUGGUGGCAGUGAAAACCCACCACUUAUCUGUUUUGUAAGGAAAAUAGACUUUUAUGAUUGAACUAAUAAAUAACUAAUUAAGUUAAGAAUGAGUGGGAGUGGUUAUGGAAAGUGUGUAGAAGAAUGUGUCUUAUAGUGUAAUAAAGAAGAUGAAAUGUGUCCUAGAGCGUAAAUGGUUUUUUUUAAGCAAAAUGAGGAUUACUAGUUAUUGUUAUUUUUAUUGUAGUUUUAAUAUUAUAUGGAGAUAAAUAAUUUAAGAAAUUGCAAAUAUUAAGUUUCAGAGAUUAGUUUAAACUUUUCGAAUAAUCUUUUUAGUAUUGAGAUUUCUUUUUAAUUAAUUGAAAGUUAUAUUAAGAGUUUGGAAUUUAGAAUAAAAAAAGGUACGAGUAUAGAGUUAGAGGGUAAAGGUUUUGGGGUAUUGAUUUUUUAUGUUUUGAGAUUAAUUUUUGAAAAAAAAAUAAUUUUUGGGUUUAUAACUAAGAAUAUAAGUUAAUUUUAUGAUUUCAUGCUGAAAUAUUAGAGUUUAAAGUUUGUAUUUAGAAUUUAGGGUUUAAAACUUAUUUAGGGUUUAGGGAUUCAAAAAGUCAAAGAUAACAUUUUUAGUUAUGUUUUGCUAUUAAACGUAAGUGUGACAUAUAAAACCAUAUGAUAUCAUAGUGUUUUCAAAUAUAUCACUCUAUCGUAGCAUUUCAAAAUAUACAAACGCUAUCUAAAACAAACAGGUAUGUCAACCAUAUCACAAUCAGAAAAAAAAACGCUAUAAUGCUGUGCUAUUAAAACACAAAUUUCUUGUACUGACGGGUGUAUCCGAU